rnacentral:tRNA from 1 species
GCCUUCGUGGUGUAGUGGUCAGCACGCUUGACGCGUAUUCGAGAGGUCCGUGGUUCGAGUCCCGGCGAGGGGA